ACAACAGCGCAAAAAGGAAGCGAGAGCAAAAAGGGAGGAGUAAGUGAAAGAGGCCCGCUAGGCCUGAUGCAAAUGUUCAUCUGAUAUUAUCUUUUCUUUUCUUUUUUCUUUUUUUCUCGUCAUUUCUU
rnacentral:ribozyme from 14 species